rnacentral:rRNA from 1 species
GAUGAACGCUGGCGGCGUGCCUAAUACAUGCAAGUCGAGCGAACAGACGAGGAGCUUGCUCCUCUGACGUUAGCGGCGGACGGGUGAGUAACACGUGGAUAACCUACCUAUAAGACUGGGAUAACUUCGGGAAACCGGAGCUAAUACCGGAUAAUAUAUUGAACCGCAUGGUUCAAUAGUGAAAGACGGUUUUGCUGUCACUUAUAGAUGGAUCCGCGCCGCAUUAGCUAGUUGGUAAGGUAACGGCUUACCAAGGCAACGAUGCGUAGCCGACCUGAGAGGGUGAUCGGCCACACUGGAACUGAGACACGGUCCAGACUCCUACGGGAGGCGGCAGUAGGGAAUCUUCCGCAAUGGGCGAAAGCUUGACGGAGCAACGCCGCGUGAGUGAUGAAGGUCUUCGGAUCGUAAAACUCUGUUAUCAGGGAAGAACAAAUGUGUAAGUAACUAUGCACGUCUUGACGGUACCUAAUCAGAAAGCCACGGCUAACUACGUG